rnacentral:lncRNA from 1 species
UACCUACUAUAUUAGAUGAUGACUUACCUCCAAAACGCUUUAAAACUUUCGUUUAUAAUUCUAAGUGUGCUUAUAAUUAAAGAGCUACAGUGAAAUAAAAUGAAUUCUUCAAGAAAGGCAGCACCCAUGACAAAAGAUGAGACGAUGAUUCUAGCAGAACUUGUGGCGGCGAAAAAACAUUUCAAUAAUAAGGCAACAAAUGCCACAAACAAUAAAUUGAAGGAGCAGGCUUGGCAAACCCUUGUAAAUGAUUUUAAUUCGUCGAUUCGUCGUUUCCCACGAACUCCAUCGCAGCUUCGACUAAAAUGGGAAAACUUAAAGAACGCUACGGCAACAUAAGAAACAACCUUAGUAAGGCUGGAGGUGGUAAGGAUUGCAGAUGAAAUUUUGGAUAAAGCAUGCACAUUGUUGUAGGUCACAUAUAAUAUUUUUAACACUUUUACAGCCAAGCGGAAACAAGAUGGAAGAAAAGAAAUGCAAGGCUAGCAUAGGGACAAUGCAUUAGCAGAAUAUCUAAUAGCAAAAAAGAGACUUGACUUGGAAAAUAAAGAAAAGGAGAUUGUUGUAGCAAAAGUUAAGUUAGAUUUAGAUAAUUUAAAAAAUUAAAAAUUACUUAAAAGGAAUAUUAAAUUUCAUAAAUUAAGUAGGCAAUAAUAAUUUUAUGUUAGAUAGUUUUUUAAGUAUAUGUACAAAUUCUAAAUUAAAUAUCUUGCAUGUACUAACUACCAUGUAAUUAUCAUUUUGGAAAAUAAAAAAUAGUCAAAUUAUCUUUGGAGUUUAUUUUAUAAAUUAUCUUUGGAAGCAAUUAUUUAUAAGUACAUAGUUGUAUUUCAGAUGUAAGUUUUGAAAAAUUGUUACGAACAAUUAUAUUAUUUUCCUGUAAUGUAUCUGCGACUGAAAUUUCUGAUUCUAAUUCUUCUAAAUUCAUACUUCUGACGAUAUUAUGCAGCAUGGCAGCUAUAAUAACAGCUUGCAUAUUUUCUAGUUUUAAUCUACUUUUCAAUGAUAUACAGGGAGUCUUCUUUUACAAA